UGGAGUUCCUGUCAUGGCUCACCAGUUAAUGAACCUGACUAGCAUCCAUGAGGAUUCAGGUUCAAUCCCUGGCCUCACUGACAGGGUUAAGGAUCCGGUGUUGCCAUGAGCUGUGGUGUAGGUCACAGACUCGGCUCGGAUCCCAUAGUUCUGUGGCUGUGGCGUAGGCCAGUGGCUACAGCUCCAAUUGGACCACCCCUAGCCUGGGAACGUCCAUAUGCCAUGGCCCUAAAAGACAAAAAGACCAAAGUAAAUAAAUAAAAUAAAACAAAAACGCAAGUGCACUUCUAAAAAAAUUAUUUAGUAGUGAUAAAUGAUCCUGUUAAAAGAAGGAUUGAAAAUAUUGGUAUCUUUCAAUUUUUUUAUGGUAUGUCUCUCUCUGGAUUUUUUCUUCAGUAUGAUUCAGUAAUUCUGAAUGGGGUUCUUUUAAUAUUAAGACAGGGGGCUGAUUGAUAUUUGUCUGUUCUAUACUCAUACUCCAGGGUCACUUUAAAGCAGUGACCUGUGAUCCUGGAUCUCAUUGGAGUCUGUCAUCAUCCUGAUAUUGUUUAUAAAGUGUGUGCACAUGUACAUUUUUCUGGGGAGGGUGAGUUUUGAUAGGUUGUUAAAAAGACCUGUCACCCAAAAACAUUCAAUAACUUAGGCUGUAAAUUUUAGAGAACUAUGCAGAUACUGUCCCCCCCCCUUGUGAAUUAUAGUAUAAGUUUAAUCACCAUCAUUCCUAAUAAAUAAUAGGGGAGUUUUGUGCAGUUUUAAUCACGAUGCAAAGAUAAGAUAUUUUUGCAUCUUGCCUCUUUUUCAGAUUUCUACCUGGGUUUUUAAGCAAGCAGUGUUCUCAUUUGACAUGAAUGUAAACAUAAUGUCCUACUUGUUUAUAGAUUUCUUUUAAAGUUACUUCUUAAAGUUAGAAUUCUUUGAGAGGUUUGUUUUUCUUUGAGAAAUUGAGUCUUUGUUUUUUUUUUAAAGCAAAGUUUAGUGUAUUUGAUUGGUAAAGAUCAGUUUAGGGUAUGAAUAGACAAACAGGAAACCUAGGAUUGGUAAAAAUGUGGACUUGAGCUUGCUGUGGGCAUGUGGUUCUGGCUCAGCCACUGCCUAACUUUGUAACUUUUUGUUUGUUUGUUUUUUAGGGCCACACCCCCAGCAUAUGGAGGUUCCCAGGCUACGAAUCCAAUCAGAACUACAGCUGCUGGCCUACACCACUGCCACAGCAACGUAGGAUCCGAGCUGCAUCUGUGACCUACACCAGAGCUCACUGCAAUGCCAGAUCCUUAACCCACUGAACAAGGCCAGGGAUUGAACCCAUAUCCUCAUGGUUCCCAGACAGAUUUAUUUCUGCUGUGUCAUGACAGGAACUCCUAACUUUGUGACUUUUGCUUAAACCUCUCUAUGCUUCAGUUUCCUCAACUAUAAAAAGGAUAUAAAAUAGUCUCAUAUAGUAAAUAAUCUAAUACAGUUGUUAGGAAAAUUAAUGAGUAAUUCUGUGAUAGCCUCUCCUGCCAGUAGAGUUUCAGUGUUAUCACAGUGAUUUCUCUGACUUUAUAUUUUAGGGAGCAAGUACUAGGCUUGUCCCCUCUAUUUCCUCCUUCCUGGUUUCUAAUACAAAUCAUCUAACUUUGCUACCUGGGACAGUUAGAUUAAGGUCCCUGGUCUUUGGUCAGGAAUGCAGUCCCUGUCAGCCCACUUCUUACUCACAGUGGCCUGGACAAGUUUCAUUUAUUUAACCUUUAAAGCCUCAAAAGGGGGGAAGUUAAUAGGGCCAAACUCAUAGAAUUAUGGUAAAAAUGAAAUGAGCUAAAAUGUUGAGCACUUAGCUUAGUGCCUGGCACACAGUAAGCACUCGAUGAGUCUCUGUUAUUGCUGCUGUUGUUCCUGUUAGUCUCUCUGAGGCCACAGAAGUUUUCUUUUGAAGCCCUUCCCCAUAAAACUCAGUGCCUCUGAGUCCUUAACUAAGACUCAUCAAUCAGUUCUUUGUGCAAUCAAGAUCGCUCUGAGGUUAACUAAUUCCUGGCAGAUUUCAUAAUAAAUCUUUAUCUUUGCCACAUGAGGCCUUUUGCAUGGAACCAGAUAACCAAAUAAAUGGAUGUAGAAUAUCAGAUUUAUUCAGAGGAAGAGUACGAAAUUAGGGGCAUGAAAUAACCUGUUGUCCAGGUCUGGCAGCAGAUUUAUUAUUUUAUUUGACAUUUAAAACUGUUCAUCUUGAAAAUAGUAAUGGCAAAUGCUUAUCAGUUACUUCUGUGUGCCAGGCACAUUCUAAGUGCUUUAUAUUCUUUUAUAUUCGUUAACCAUCUGCAGUAGGUACUGUUACCAUUCCCACGUAACAGAUGAGGAAAGAGGCUUAGAGAGGGGAAGUCGCUUGCCCCAAACCACACAAUUGAUUAGUGAUGGAUUCAACCCCAGGCAGUAGAUCCCAGAGCUCAGAGUGCUAACCAUUCACCUCUCUCAUUUCCCACCUCACCUUCAUCCUGGAUGGGGAUUCCUUUUUACAUGAUUUUUAAUCAAACUAAAGCAGAAGGGUUUUGCUUUAAAAUGGUGUCAUAGGUUGAGUGAGUAGGAAAUGGGCUAUGUUGGGUCCAUGAUUCAACUCUGAUAGCCAGUUAAUGAACCUCGUUAGCUGCACAAAUAAUGCUUCACAACUCAAGGCUCAAAUGUUUUCAGUUAGUGUAUCCUCAUUAUUCCACAUGCAGUAAACAUUCUCUCUUCUUUUUCACUAUAAGAGCAACAUCAUUUUUCAGUUUCCAUAAGCUGGAUUCAAGCAGGUCCCCAAAGUCCUUUAACAUGUGUGACUGUUGGUGUACAAAUGGUCGAAGCAUUUGAUCGUCUUCCUAAAAUUAAAUGAAAGAAAAAAGUGAGUGUAUCAAACCCAAGUUCUUAUGCUGGGCGUAGAGGACAAACAAACCAAAACAUCAGAGUUUGGAGUGGAGAAAAUUUUAUUAGUCGAGGAGACCUGGCCUUGUCUCCAUCAUGCUGGCUGGCCAGGGCACAAGGUUUUUAAAAGCAAAAAAGUGAGGAGGGGGUAUCUUUGUAAUUUCACCUUUCCUACGUGACCUUGGUCACAGACUUCAUGGUACCAUCUUGUGACUGGACGUGUCACGGUGAUUGUGAUUGAUCGCUGUGUUCCUGCAAAGCAAAGUGGUAAAUCAUGGCCUUGUGAUUCUUUCACUUCUUUUCAGAAGAGAGCAAAAGCAAUGGUCGAGGCAUUUUAUUAUUCACUUAGAGCUUUCAUGAGUGUUCAGAAGUUUUAGUUUUUUGGUUUUUGGUUUUUUUUUGUUUUUUUUUUUUUAGGGCCACACCCACGGCAUACCGAAGUUUCCAGGCUAGGGGUCAAAUCAGAGCUGCAGCUGCCGACCUACACCACAGCCACAGAAACACUGGAUACUUAACCCACUGAGCGAGGCCAAGGAUCAAACCCACAUCCUCAUGAAUUACUGGUCAGGUCUUUAACCUGCUGGGCCACAAGGGGAACUCCUAGGAGUUUUAUUUGGGGUCUUAAAUCAAGGCCUUAUUUUAAGAUAACAAUCAUGGAAAGGAUUAUGUUGGGUUUGCUUUUCCUUUGUUUCUGCGUUCCCUCCCUUUUGUAGCUGGUAACUGCUUGAAUCUGCCCUUUGGAACUUAGGAAGGUCUAGAGGACUAAAGCCUUUUUCUACAAAAAGACAUGGGGGACACAGCAGGGCUUUUGUACCUGGGAGGACCGCACAGGGUCCUGCUCUGUUCAGUGAUGUGAGGCAGUGAAAGUAUUGUGUGUGGACGUGAUUGGGGUGUCCCGGGAGUUCUCCCUUUGGGCUAGAAAGCUGCAUUCGAAAUCUGCUACCAGAGGCAUGUCACCUAGUCACCUAGGAGCAUGUUUGGUUUGGGGAAGGCCGAUUGAAUGGCCCUUUUCUUACUGCCAACAGGGAAAAUUAGGGGGAUAUCCAAAUAGUUGAGAUUGGUAUGUAUUCUUUUAAUACUAUAGAACUUCUGAGGUUUGCAAAGGAUUGUCUGAGGUGGGAAUUCUCCUAUUGAUAGGGUUUCAUAUUCGUUUCCUUUCCCCUGAUCCUUAAUGAAACACCUGCUCAGAUGCUUUGGUCAGUUUUUUUUCAACAUGUUUUCCAACAUGUUGUCUUUCAUUUUAAAAGUACGUAGUUGGAGUUCCCGUCGUGGCACAGUGGAAGCAGAUCCAACUAGGAGCCAUGAGGUUGUGGGUUCAAUCUCUGGCCUCACUCAGUGGGUUGAGGAUCUGAGCUGUGGUGUAGGUGGCAGACAUGGCUCGGGUCUGGUGUUGCUGUGGCUCUGGUGUAGGCUGGCAGCAAUAGCUCCGAUUGGACCCCCAGUCUAAGAACCUCCAUAUGCCACUAGUGCGGCCCUAAAAGGACAAAAAAAAAGUAUGUAGUUGUUUAUAUAUUCUGGAUGUUAAUCUUGGUGAUAAAUAAUACAAAUAGAUUCUCUCAGGUUGUGGCUUAUUUUUAACUUUAUUUUUACUCUCUCUCAUCUUGCUAGUUUUCCCUUCUUUUUUUUUUUUUAUUGUGAGCUAUAUGUACAAAAGAGUACCCAGGAUGUAUGCAUAGAUACACUUAGAAUACACCUGCUCAAGAAAAAACUGCCUCUUGGCCACACCCAUUUCCCUGCCCCAAGAAGCAGGGAAGUGUGUGAUCAUCAUUUUUGUGCCACCUAGAAUGCAGUCCUGACAGUAUUAUUUUGCCUGUCUUUUGGCUCUUUGUGCCAUAAUUUGCUUGUCUUCUGUGGAUACAUGUUAGGAUGUUUCUAGUUUGGGGCUAUUAUGGAAGGUGGUAUUAAAAAAACAGCCAGUGCAGAGUUCCCAUCAUGGCUCAGCGGUUAGUGAACUGGACUAGCAUCCACAAGGAUGCAGGCUCCAUUCCUGGCGUUGCUCAGUGGGUUGAGGAUCCAGCAUUGCUGUGAGCUGUGGUGUAGGUCAAAGACAAGGCUCAGAUCUGGUGUUGCUGGGGCCAUGGUGUAGGCUGCCGGUUGCAUCUCUAAUUGGACCCCUAGUCUGGGAAUCUCCAUAUGCUCUGGUUGCGGCCCUAAAA
rnacentral:lncRNA from 1 species